UAGUCCAUAGUCCAUAUUACGAUUAUAUAAAUACGUGUCGACGUUCGCUAGGGGAAAUUAUCUAAAAAUUGAGUUGUGAAAAGUCAACAUGGGAGACAACAAAGUUCUCGUUCUUGCAAGAUAAAUAUACAUGAAUAGUGUGUCUCUAUCCUUGUCUCAGACAUUCAUGUCGGCAUAUCACGCAUGUAGAGAAUGAGAACUUUCUUGUUUUCCAUGUUGAUUUUUCACGAUUCAAUUUUCGGACAGUUUUCCUUAUACUUUGAUAUAUGAGUGCUGAAACUAUUCAAGAUUCAAGACCUGUUUAUAUGGAAACAGUUCAUACUAUCAGGAAAGGACUUUUCUGAUACUGCUAAUUAUGCAUUGUGCUACUCACAGCAUUGACAAAGUGGUUAUGAUACUGACAGACAAUAUCUAGAAUUAUAUCAAAUCACGUCAACGUACAAUUGCAUCGCAAUAAGUUUUACAAGUAACGAGAAAGUGGAUAUGUUUAUCGUUUUCAUCUAGUGCGAUUAUAAUUCAAAUGUUGUAACAGAGAUGUAUCGCUGUGAAUAUACUCUAGAAAAAUACAAAACAAUUUAAUAAAGUAUGGUUCAUUCGAGUAAGGAAAGAAAAGUUAUACAAAGCCAGUUGUACAAAAUUAGCAAAACAUGAAAAUUAGCAGCAGAAUUGCAUAUCAGUCCAAGUUCGGGAUACCGAAUUUUAUAGUUGCAAUAAAUUUCUUCACUAUCAUUAGUCUAUACAGAAUACUUUACAUGCUGGAAAUAAGUUUUGUAGAAUACAGUUCUGUUGAUUCUUUUUUAGCAAAGUUAUUUUUUACAUAAAGAUUUAGACAUUUGUUGAUAAAUUAAAAAUUGUAUAUUUUAUUCACAUCUUUGGUUUGCUGCUCAUAAAUAUCUAAAUCACAAUAUAUUAAAAAUAAUACAGUAAUAUGAACAUUAUAAUACUAUGUAAUAUAUUACUACAUUAUGUACAGUAAAUGUAGAUGAUAUACAUA